rnacentral:misc_RNA from 1 species
GAUGAAGAACGUAGCGAAAUGCGAUAAGUAAUGUGAAUUGCAGAAUUCAGUGAAUCAUCGAAUCUUUGAACGCACAUUGCGCCCCUUGGUAUUCCGAGGGGCAUGCCUGUUCGAGCGUCAUUUUGACCACUCCCGCUUGCGGGGUCUUGGGCCUUCGCCUCUGGGCGGGCCUUAAAAUCAGUGGCGGUGCCGUCCGGCUCUAAGCGUAGUAAAUCUCCUCGCUAUAGGGUUCCGGAGGGAAGCUGGCCAACAACCCCCAACUUUUAAGGUUGACCUCGGAUCAGGUAGGGAUACCCGCUGAACUUAAGCAUAUCAAUAAGCGGAGGA